AUUGAACGCUGGCGGCAGGCCUAACACAUGCAAGUCGAACGAGUGGCGGACGGGUGAGUAAUGUCUGGGAAACUGCCCGAUGGAGGGGGAUAACUACUGGAAACGGUAGCUAAUACCGCAUACCAUCGGAUGUGCCCAGAUGGGAUUAGCUAGUGGGUGGGGUAACGGCUCACCUAGGCGACGAUCCCUAGCUGGUCUGAGAGGAUGACCGGCCACACGGGAACUGAGACAGGGUCCAGACUCCUACGGGAGGCAGCAGUGGGGAAUGUUGCACAGUGGGCGCAAGCCUGAUGCAGCCAGGCGGAGUGUAUGGAGAAGGCCUUCGGGUUGUAAAGUACGUGCAGCGAGGAGACGUUACUCGCAGAAGAAGCACCGGCUAACUCCGUGCCAGCAGCCGCGGUAAUUC
rnacentral:rRNA from 1 species